UACAAAACGAAGAAGUGGUUUCGUUUCGGUAGAGGAGGCGGCCGUCCUGAGCUGCUACCCAUUCUUGCUGCAAACGCACUUUAACCAACAUAUGCGUAAUCAAUUGGUGGAGGGUUGUCAUUCCAAGAAAUGGUAAUGAGAGCAAGCAAUGGCGUCUUGAAUUUGCCAGGAGAAAAAUUGAUGUGUGAAACGAAUUAUGGUGAUGGCCAACAUGAGCAUGCCUCGGAUGAUGCAGUACUUCGUGUAACUGCAGACAAUACAACAACAGACCACAACAAACAUGAGCAAACUGCAUGCUCCUCUUUUUGCACCGGAAGUGAUGCCCCAGCUUCAGACAAACAUACAGCUAGUAAAUUUGAUAUGGUUGCACAAGAACCGUGUAUAAACUUUAGUGGCGAACAUGAUCGAUCAGUUCAACUGUACUCACCAUCUGAACAUUAAGGAGAAGUUUCUGGCAACAACAAAAUGUAACCAUUUGAAUAUAAAUUGCUUGCUAUCAUUGGGUUACUGAACAGAGCUGCCCUAAGUUACUGGCAUCUGCUGUUUUACUUAUUAAUUUGAAGUGCCGGAAAUGGAGGAACAAAUUCAGUGCAACCUUGUGUCACCGUGUCCGGCGAGAUGGAUGGAUCAGAGCAUAACACACCUGUGCAAGCUGCAUCAUCCUCUUUUUGCACCGAAGAUGGUGGCACAAAUUUAGUCCAAUUCCAGCAAGAGAGGGGGACCAGGUUGAACCAGAGACUUGUGUCACCUUGGCUGGCAACCAGGAUGGAUCAGUGCCAAAUUCCUCACAAAUUGAACAGGAAGGGAAUGAUUCUGGCAACAUCACAAUGUUUUAGUACAGAAGUUGUUGCUCAGCCAUGGCCAUGCUAUUUGCUUUCUUUUGUCCAUACUUAGUGAAUGCACAACUUCUAGUGGCAUCCAAGUAAAAUUAGUACCAGAAAAAAAAAAUCAAGGCUUGUGUUGUUUGUCUGUAGAAAGCCAGUUUGCAAAAAUAUUGGUCAGGGUAUAUACUUUGUAUCGUAUACAAUAUAUAAUUUACCAAUACGUAUUGUCCAGUAUCUAUAUCUGGAUGCCUUAAGUUUUCA